CUCAUUCCCAGUAUCUAAAAUAGAGUGAUAGAAAUGUAAUUUAGUCUCAUAAUAUUAGGAACCGACUUGAACCUGAAAACACUUUAUUUGCUUUGUGUGUUGUACUUAGCACCUACCUUUUCUACUAUUGAUAGCAGCUUCAAGUCUUGAUAUGCGAUCCUAAAAUAUACAGUGGUAAGAAUCAUUCAGUAAUUUACUUAUAGAAAAAGCUUUAACAGAAUAAAAAAUAGAAUGUUAUAGUGAAGCAACACAGUUUUUGGGACAAGAGGAAACAAGAUAAGAUGGACAUAGGCCACAUGAGUCAUUUGAUUUUCAACAUAAUGAUGAUUAAUAUCAAUGUCACUACGUACUCGCUAUAUCAUAUGGAGUUGAAGUUUUUCCAAUUGGAACAAGGAAAUGCCAUUUAAAUUUU
rnacentral:lncRNA from 1 species